AUGGAAUAUGCCACAAUCAUUGUCAAAUGGGCACAUUCUUCACUGCCGCACGUCAACAUGGUCACAGACCAUGUCCAUAAGUGGUACACAAGUCAUUGGGUCUACCAUGAGAAAGCAGAGCUGACACUGAUUUGCGUUCAGAUAGCCCCCAACCAUGUUGUAGAAUACACUAAAAAGCUUCUGGCGGUAAUAAGUAAUCUGUGGUCAGAUUCCCCUCUAUUUGCUAUGGAAAUGUCCUUGUUUGAGGAAUUGCUGAAAAUGAAAAACCCAACACGUGCCCACAAAUACAGCAUUAUGCAUACGGGCGUUCGACCCGGACAAAAUUUCCGUGACCAUAUUACAGACACAAAGGCAGUAAUUAGAAGAUUUGAUUGGACAUUGAAGUCUUUUGGUGCUGACAAUGAGACGAUUAUGAAGCUGACGUGCCCCCAUGUAAGUCACAAGCUACAGCUACUUAUAUUAUUUUAUCAUUUAUGUAAUACAAUUAAUUUAAUGUUCCUUUCAACUUUCUGUGUACCACAGAAACCACACAGUGUGACGGUGAUGCUUCCUGGGUCUCAGAUGAUAAUAAUGAAAUGCCAGGAAUCACAGAGAAUAUGUGACCUGAUGAAGACGUAUGACAUUGUGUGCUCCAGCGUCUGCGAUUCUAAAACGGCCUUGUCAGGGAGGGCUCCCUGUAUGGCCCUGGUUAACCACGAGAUGGAAAUAGUAUAUAUAGACAAGACCCCUUAUGAUGAUAAAUAUGACGAAAAACCUAAGAUACCAAAAUUCCACAACAACAUGGUUCCGAUCAAAAUGAGAACUAAACGAAGCCUACUGAGAUACAAUCCUUACCACGUGCCUGCUAGGAGGGAAACCUCAGACUCUCCAGAUGAUGAUAUAGAAGUUAUCGUUUAUUGUGAGAGUAUCAAGUCCAGCGUGAAUGCUGCCAUACAAGAGGAUGGGCGUUUCUUCCCAAAUGCUCAGUACAGGGGUCCAAAUGGAAUAUUUUCAGAGCCACUUGUUCAAGAGCUGCAAGGAGACAAUCACGAGAUCGCUGCAGGUAAAAACCUCACUUAUACAUGUUCAUUGUCAUCAAUUGUUCAUUCAUAG
rnacentral:lncRNA from 1 species